rnacentral:rRNA from 1 species
UACGAAGGGGGCUAGCGUUGCUCGGAAUCACUGGGCGUAAAGCGCACGUAGGCGGGUCGUUAAGUCAGGGGUGAAAUCCCGGAGCUCAACUCCGGAGCUGCCUUUGAUACUGGCGAUCUUGAGUUCGAGAGAGGUGAGUGGAACUGCGAGUGUAGAGGUGAAAUUCGUAGAUAUUCGCAAGAACACCAGUGGCGAAGGCGGCUCACUGGCUCGAUACUGACGCUGAGGUGCGAAAGCGUGGGGAGCAAACAGG